UAAAGCAAGAAAGGGCGUAUGGGGAAUGCCUAGGCACACUCCGGCGAAGAAGGACGCAGCAAACAGCGAAAUGCGACGGGAAGCGGUAAGCACGCAAAGAUCCGUCGAUAUCCGAAUGGGGGAACCCGCAUGGAGUCAAAUCCAUGGAUCACAUGUUGAAUACAUAGACAUGAUGAGGCGAGACGCAGGGAACUGAAACAUCUAAGUACCUGCAGGAAGAGAAAAUAAGAAUGAUUUUCUGAGUAGCGGCGAGCGAAAGGGAAAGAGCCCAAACCGAUCUGAGGAUCGGGGUAGUAGGAUCAUCAAUAAAUCUGACAGAGGAUCAUAGAGGAAUCACAUGGGAAGGUGAGCGAGAGAGGGUGAGAGCCCCGUACUCGAAAUGAGAGACUGGAGAGAGAUGACACCUGAGUAGGGCGGGACACGAGGAAUCCUGUCUGAAUCGGCCGGGACCAUCCGGCAAGGCUAAAUACGAGAGUAGUGACCGAUAGUGAACCAGUACCGUGAGGGAAAGGUGAAAAGAACCCCGGGAGGGGAGUGAAAGAGAACCUGAAACCAUAUGCCUACAAGAAGUCAGAGCCCGUUAAAGGGUGAUGGCGUGCCUUUUGUAGAAUGAACCGGCGAGUUACUGUAUGGAGCGAGGUUAAGCAGGAUAUGCGGAGCCGAAGCGAAAGCGAGUCUUAAGAGGGCGCGAGUUGCAUGCAGUAGACCCGAAACCGGGUGAUCUAGCCAUGACCAGGUUGAAGUUGGGGUAAAACCCGAUGGAGGACCGAACCGACCCCCGUUGAAACGUUGGCGGAUGAGUUGUGGCUAGGGGUGAAAUUCCAAUCGAACCCGGAGAUAGCUGGUUCUCCCCGAAAUAGCUUUAGGGCUAGCGUCGAGGUAGAGAGUUGCGUGAAGGUAGAGCACUGAAUAUGUGAUGGCCCCAUCUCGGGGUACUGAGCAUAAUCAAACUGCGAAUGUCACGAGAACAUGCUCGGCAGUCAGACAGCGGGUGAUAAGGUCCGUUGUCAAGAGGGAAACAGCCCAGACCAUCAGCUAAGGUCCCAAAAUGUAUGCUAAGUGGAAAAGGAUGUGGAGAUGUACAGACAACUAGGAGGUUGGCUCAGAAGCAGCCAUCCUUUAAAGAGUGCGUAACAGCUCACUAGUCGAAUGACUCUGCGCCGAUAAUUUACCGGGGCUAAGCAUACUACCGAAGCUAUGGAUCCCAAGGGAUGGUAGGGGAGCGUUCCAUGAACGGAGAAGCGUGAUCGAGAGGACGCGUGGAGAUCAUGGAAGAGAGAAUGCCGGUGUGAGUAGCGGAACGUGGGUGAGAAUCCCACGCACCGAAAACCCAAGGUUUCCAGAGGAAGGUUCGUCCGCUCUGGGUAAGUCGGGACCUAAGGCGAGGCCGAGAGGCGUAGUCGAUGGACAACAGGUAGAGAUUCCUGUACUCAUAUAUAUGUGAAGGAAUGACGGAGAGAGGAAGCUGCAGCCAGCGGCUGGAAGAGCUGGUGCAAGCGAGAUAUCGGGAUGGCAGGCAAAUCCACCAUCCGAAACGAGAAGGCGUGAAGCGUACGGAAAGCUAAGGCGAGUACGGAAGGCAGUGGAGGAGCUUCCAAGAAAAGUUUCUAACGUUAAGUAUAUAUGGCCCGUACCGAAAAUGGACACACAUGGGUGAGGAGAGAAUCCUAAGGUGAGCGAGAGAACUAUAGCUAAGGAACUCUGCAAAAUGACUCCGUAACUUAGGGAGAAGGAGUGCUCAUAGAGAUAUGAGCCGCAGUGAAACGGCCCAAGCGACUGUUUACCAAAAACACAGCUCUCUGCUAAGCCGCAAGGCGAAGUAUAGGGGGUGACGCCUGCCCGGUGCUGGAAGGUUAAGGGGAGGGGUUAACGCAAGUGAAGCCCUGAACUGAAGCCCCAGUAAACGGCGGCCGUAACUAUAACGGUCCUAAGGUAGCGAAAUUCCUUGUCAGGUAAGUUCUGACCCGCACGAAAGGCGUAACGAUUUGGGCGCUGUCUCAGCUGUAGACUCGGUGAAGUCUUAGUACCUGUGAAGAUGCAGGUUACCCGCGACUAGACGGAAAGACCCCAUGGAGCUUCACUGCAGGUUGAUAUUGGGAUUUGAUGCAGCAUGUACAGGAUAGGUAGGAGGCAAAGAGAUGGAUACGCCAGUAUUCAAGGAGCCGCUGUUGGGAUACUACCCCUGUUGUAUUGGAUUUCUAACCGGACGACGUAGAGCCGUUGACGGGACAGUGUCAGUCGGGCAGUUUGACUGGGGCGGUCGCCUCCCAAAGAGUAACGGAGGCGCCCAAAGAUACCCUCAGCUUGGAUGGAAACCAAGCGCAGAGUGCAAAGGCAAAAGGGUGUUUGACUGCGAGACCCACAAGUCGAGCAGGGACGAAAGUCGGGCUUAGUGAUCCGGCGGUGCUGAAUGGAAAGGCCGUCGCUCAACGGAUAAAAGCUACCCUGGGGAUAACAGGCUGAUCUCCCCCAA
rnacentral:rRNA from 1 species